rfam:Clostridium sp. DMHC 10 contig_16, whole genome shotgun sequence.
AAUACCUUUAAUGAUUGGUCCAGAGAGGCUAAGAAGGAUUUGAAAUUAGUUUAAAAUUUUGCUUAAAGUGUAUACUUUUGUACGUUAAGCCUUCUUUCUGGAGAAGGCUUUUUAUU